AGAGGUGCCAUGGGAAAAAUGCGUGACAGGGCCCUGGGCUAAUACCCAGCAGUCGGAGCUCAGCAGAGCAGCAUGCGGUCACCAGGCCCUGCAGUGCUGUAGCCGAGGUCUGGAGAGCAGCGGAGGGCUCUGGGCUGGAAUAGCAGGGCAGGAGUGCUGGAAGCCGGGACCGAGAUGCAUUGGCAGGGCUGAGGGAAGCCCAGGCCUGAUGAAGCCGUGGGCAGAGACGUGAGUGGAGCGAUUGGGACAGGAUUCGCCAGGUGGGGCCGGGGGUUGGACGUGAGGUGCAUUAGCAGAGCAAUCCCAGGCUAUGGAACAGCAGGGGCAGCUGCAGUGCAAGGCUGACAUGCACCGAACAAGCUGGGAAUAAAGGGGAAUUUACACAGCUGCAGCCCUUGCUGUAUCGCCCCCUCUUCAGUGCUUAGCAGUAUCCCAUUGAGCGGCUUUCUGCUCCUUCCCUAGGGUUUGGAGCUGGGCGGAUGCCCAGGGCCGCUCUCCCAUCUGCACUCUUUAGCUCCCAGUCAGGGGAAGGGGGCCGGCAGGGAGUCAGCCAGGGCACAUCCUUAGCAAUUGAGCUUGGAAAACAGCUUCGGUUGGAUUUGGGGCAGAUCUGGUUUUAUCUGAGCUGGUUCACACAUACUCCACUUACCUGAAGCCCUCUGUGUACAAAACGCCCGAGGCUGAGCGGAGCCCCUCCACCCCCAAUCCCCUCCACCAGACCCAAGGUGCCAUCCCUGUGAUGCAGGGAGAUCACCCAUCUGGUGUCUGCAGAUGUUGCCGGGGCAGGGGCUGGGGUCAAAGAAAGGCACUUCAGUGAGCGCCGCCCCAUUCAUUCCUCUUCCUGGGGUAGCUGUUCUCCAGCCAAUGAAGCCGGGACAUCACACCGGCUGAGUUUGUGCUGUGGGUGCACAGGGCAGGCUGGGCUCAUUCAGAACACAGCUUGGGUGGGAUGAGUUCCGCUCACUGAGGGUUAUGCUCAGCAGACGCUGGAGCCAGAUCACGGCACAUUGGAAAGAAAAAUGAGGUCUUUCCCAGCUCCAAGCCCGCCCCCUCCAGAUUUCUCUGCACUAACCAACCCUCAACCAGAUCCCAGGUUCAAAUCCUAUGCAUAGCUCGAGCGGGCAGGUGGGGAUUACACAUGGACAACAAAAGUGAUGGGAAAUCU